AUUCUCCUCAGCCUUUUGGCUGAGAUCAAAGUUUAGUAUCUGUUCUUAUCAGUUGAAACUCUGGAAUAGUUACUAUAGCAGGCCAUAAAACUGAACUGAUUUUUGGAAAAUAAUGGGAUGACUGGGCAGGCUUGCUCACUUCUUUGUUUUUAUUUAUUUUUUGAAGGGGACUGGUUAUAAGUUUGGACUGAUAUC
rnacentral:snRNA from 1 species